UACGUAGGGGGCAAGCGUUGUCCGGAAUUAUUGGGCGUAAAGAGCGUGUAGGCGGUCCGGUAAGUCAGCUGUGAAAGUCAAGGGCUCAACCCUUGAAUGCCGGUUGAUACUGUCGGGCUAGAGUCCGGAAGAGGCGAGUGGAAUUCCCGGUGUAGCGGUGAAAUGCGCAGAUAUCGGGAGGAACACCAAUGGCGAAGGCAGCUCGCUGGGACGGUAUUGACGCUAAGGCGCGAAAGCGUGGGGAGCAAACAGG
rnacentral:rRNA from 1 species